GAAGUUUCUAGGAAAGGCCGGACACCAGGUUUUGAGCAAAAUUUUGGACUGUGAAGCAAGGCAUUGGUGAAGACAAAAUGGCCUCACCGGCUGACAGCUGUAUCCAGUUCACCCGCCAUGCCAGUGAUGUUCUUCUCAACCUUAAUCGUCUCCGGAGUCGAGACAUCUUGACUGAUGUUGUCAUUGUUGUGAGCCGUGAGCAGUUUAGAGCCCAUAAAACGGUCCUCAUGGCCUGCAGAUCCUGAGAUCAACCCUGAGGGGUUCUGCAUCCUCCUGGACUUUAUGUACACAUCUCGGCUCAAUUUGCGGGAGGGCAACAUCAUGGCUGUGAUGGCCACAGCU
rnacentral:sRNA from 1 species